AUCAGAGACACAUAAAGGCAAGAAUACCCCCCCUCCCAAUUACUUUACGAGGAAGGGUUGGGAUAAAAGGCUGUAAAUGGGCGUGGUUGGCAUUUUAAAGAAGUAAACAAUCUGCAAACAACAAACAAAGCUAACAUCACUUCCCAGUACAAAUGCCAUCAUAAGACUUCUGAGGAGUGUAAUGCAUUUUAUGCGGAGGCGCCGAAUGGACAAUCCCGCAAACUUUCCACCAGCAGACAACGGAACUGAUUUGGGAGUGAGUGAGAUCAAGCGAGUGAGAUCAUGUCCACAUUGGGACUGGACACUGAAAUGAUUCCGUUCGCCGGUUGCACCGAGACUGUCAAGAUGAUGCAGGCCAGUAUCCAGUGUGAAGGACAUCCAAACUGCCAGGC